rnacentral:lncRNA from 1 species
GAUCAAGAAGUCAGUCUUUUGAUAACAGUUUAAAAGAUUGUAUCUAGAAAUAGACUGACUGGAAGACCACGGCAUAGCAGAAGCCAUUCUGACAAUGACAGACCAAACUGCAGCUGGAAUACCCAGUACAGUUCUGCUUACUACAUUUAAACAAAUAUCUGAAAGUGGAAAAAGAACCAAAGAAAGGCAGUUCAAGUGACCAAAGGUUGGGUGGAAGGUGCUGCAGUAUGAUGACUGCACGACUAUUUUGACUCUGGUCAGAAAAGAUACAAAAAUAUUAUCGAAAACUACAUGGAAUAAUUGAAGUCCUUUCAAAUUUGAAAAAUUUGGUGUUGUUCAAUUGAUUGCUCUGUUUCAGUGAAGCAAACUGCAUUUCCAGAUUUAGAGCGCACCAUCUGUUAUAGAGUCCAUCAGUGAUUCUGAAGCCAUGUGAUGAUCUAGAUCCAUGCUAUGCAAUGUGAGAUCCAGUGAUAAGCUGCAUCAGCAUCCCCUACAAGCUUGCUAGAAUCAUGGACCCUCUCCAGACCCUACUAAAUCAAAAUCUGCACUUGACCAGGAUCCCAAAAAGAUCUAUAAGUUCCCCAGCACAUCAAUAUUUGAGAUGCUUGAGAAGCACUGCUCUGGAUCAAUGAUUUUUGUUUCCUUCCUUCUCCUUUCCCGUCC